rnacentral:rRNA from 1 species
GACGAACGCUGGCGGCGUGCUUAACACAUGCAAGUCGAACGAUGAAGCCGGAGCUUGCUCCGGUGAAUUAGUGGCGAACGGGUGAGUAACACGUGAGUAACCUGCCCUUGACUCUGGGAUAACUGCUAGAAAUGGUAGCUAAUACCGGAUACGACCCUCGGAGGCAUCUCCAGGGGGUGGAAAGAAUUUCGGUCAAGGAUGGACUCGCGGCCUAUCAGCUAGUUGGUGAGGUAAUGGCUCACCAAGGCGACGACGGGUAGCCGGCCUGAGAGGGUGACCGGCCACACUGGGACUGAGACACGGCCCAGACUCCUACGGGAGGCAGCAGUGGGAAAUAUUGCACAAUGGGCGCAAGCCUGAUGCAGCAACGCCGCGUGAGGGAUGACGGCCUUCGGGUUGUAAACCUCUUUUAGUAGGGAAGAAGCGAAAGUGACGGUACCUGCAGAAAAAGCACCGGCUAACUACGUGCCAGCCGCCGCUGUAA